UAAUUAAAAUUCUUAAUAAUCGUCGUUACAGUUCUCAUCAAAAUCGCGUGCGAGGUCGUAAUCGAUCGUGGAAAGAGCUUUGAAUUUAGUAGUAGGAACUGUCAUUAGGGAGCUCUUUGCUUUGGACACGUAAUUAUUAUAGUGGUUGGGGUACGGAUAGCUUCUCAUGCGUGAAACUUCGUUACACGAAGCUUCGGGCAGGUGGACUCGUAGAACGAUCGAGGGAAUUUCUCGAUAUCAACGGUGAGAAAAUCCUACCUAUAAACAAGAUGGCUUAAAUGCGAAAUCCUCGAAAUGACCGAAGGGCGGACUCUUUCGUGUUGGAGAAAGAGAUACGUAGGGACGACUGAGAAUACGAAUGGAAUGGAGGAAGAUGGAGGAAGACGGGAAUCUUACAUUCAAAAUACCAGGGAUAAAGCUGAGCUUUGGGGUUUGGCAGGAGCGCUAGCAGGGACAUACGAGCGGCCGAAAAGUCGACGCCCGGGAGGAACGGGAAGAUGGGGUACAGUAAUACCCCAGGGAGUUACAUUAUGCGGCUACUUUGGUCACGACGUCGUAAAAUCUAUUAUUUAAGCGGUCAUCGAGCGAGGGCCGAGAAGAUUGCAUCUAAAAGCCGACGUCGGUGGACAACGGAGGGCGAUU